rnacentral:misc_RNA from 1 species
UGUUUAUUGCUGUAUAUGCAAGCUGUGAGGCAACUAGUCCAGAAAGAUAGAGAGCUUCCAGGGCGUCAAGGGUUUUAGUUUUGAGAAUGAGAGAUUUCAAAGAUUAUAAUAGUUGUCACUGAUGGAGAAUUUGGAUGGACAACUCAUGGAUAGCAUAAAAAAGAGAGUGAACCGCAUUAAAUAUCUGUCUUUAAUUCGUGUAUGAAUUCAUAAUUUCACGUACUCAUGUUUAA